ACGCGAAGAACCUUACCUACUCUUGACAUCCAGAGAACUUUCCAGAGAUGGAUUGGUGCCUUCGGGAACUCUGAGACAGGUGCUGCAUGGCUGUCGUCAGCUCGUGUUGUGAAAUGUUGGGUUAAGUCCCGCAACGAGCGCAACCCUUAUCCUUUGUUGCCAGCGGUUAGGCCGGGAACUCAAAGGAGACUGCCAGUGAUAAACUGGAGGAAGGUGGGGAUGACGUCAAGUCAUCAUGGCCCUUACGAGUAGGGCUACACACGUGCUACAAUGGCGCAUACAAAGAGAAGCGACCUCGCGAGAGCAAGCGGACCUCAUAAAGUGCGUCGUAGUCCGGAUUGGAGUCUGCAACUCGACUCCAUGAAGUCGGAAUCGCUAGUAAUCGUGGAUCAGAAUGCCACGGUGAAUACGUUCCC
rnacentral:rRNA from 1 species